rnacentral:rRNA from 1 species
AUUGAACGCUGGCGGCAGGCCUAACACAUGCAAGUCGAGCGGUAGAGAGAAGCUUGCUUCUCUUGAGAGCGGCGGACGGGUGAGUAAUGCCUAGGAAUCUGCCUGAUAGUGGGGGAUAACGUCCGGAAACGGACGCUAAUACCGCAUACGUCCUACGGGAGAAAGUGGGGGCUCUUCGGACCUCACGCUAUCAGAUGAGCCUAGGUCGGAUUAGCUAGUUGGUGGGGUAAAGGCUCACCAAGGCGACGAUCCGUAACUGGUCUGAGAGGAUGAUCAGUCACACUGGAACUGAGACACGGUCCAGACUCCUACGGGAGGCAGCAGUGGGGAAUAUUGGACAAUGGGCGAAAGCCUGAUCCAGCCAUGCCGCGUGUGUGAAGAAGGUCUUCGGAUUGUAAAGCACUUUAGGUUGGGAGGAAGGGUCGUUACCUAAUACUGGGGGCUAAUGACGGUACCGUAAGAAUAAGCACCGGCUAACUACGUGCCAGCCGCCGCCGUAACAC